UAUGGACCCGACCAAUCCCUAAUUGAAAAAUCCCAAUUAGGAAACUUGACUUUGCCCUGUUAGGGCAAAAAACUUUCAUUUGCUGCUUUUUCGGUCUGUUGUCGUCGACUCCAUCCUCUCCUCUAAUAAUGAAAUCUCGAUUGCCUCAUCCGUUGUUUCUUUGUACCACUUUGAAGAUCUUGAGGGAACACUCGAUUGUUCAUCUCCUCCAUAUUGCAGCACCAAUUGAAGAUAAACUCAGGUGGACAGGGAGACAGACUUGACCCUUAGGCUGCUUAUUUAGAGACUACUUAGAGGAGCUCCCUUUGAUUUGGAGCUGCAGCUGUUGGUACUAUUCUUUUGUGUGUCUAUAUAUAUGGGCAUGGCGGGGUCCUGUCCCGUCCUUAUGAUGUUACAUACUCUUUCUAGAGGCUCGUAGACAGUUGUGUAUAGCUAGAUGUCUCUUAGCCUUGUCGGCUCAUAUUUUUGUAUAUCAUUUUGAUAGCCUUGUCGGCUUGUGUAUUUACAUAUAUGGGUAUGGUGGUUGACGAUGAUAUAAAAGUGCCUUAGCUUGA